AGUGAAGUGUAAUGCAACCUAAAUACUUGAUAUUCUAGAAUCCAUCUCAUUAUGAUUCUGAGGAGAGUUAACAUCGUCAUCCUGCUCAUUAAUAUGGUUACACGGUUUAAACUACAUCAUAUGGUCACAUUGACACCAUUGUUAGGAGCAUGAGUUUCCAUGCACAUUUCAUUUGAUAAGUGUCCAUUCCAUAACAACAACCAGUUUAAGCUACAUCAUGAUAACUUCAUACAAAUAAUAGCCACCAAUUAAAUAACAAACAUAAUCUCAUAGUGUAACAUUCAUUAUCACGUAUUUUUCAAAUUAUAGCUUAAAAACCCAAAAUGUUUGCAUUUUCAGUCCGUACGCAUGGCGUAAGUUGGAGCUACGCCUUGCGUAGCUCAUUAAUUUCGGGCACGAACUUUGGCUCGUGCACUGGGCGUAUGUGGAGCUCUUGAGUGAUAUUUUGGUGUUCUUGGUGGUGAAGGAAGAUCUUUGGAAAACUAGUGUUGUACUCAAGCUUUUGGAUCCAGAUUCUUCACAUCUUUGUGCAUCUCCAGGAGGUUCUUCUGGUACGAAAGGGAAGGGCCCAACGUGAUGGCACAACAUCCUCCCCUCAUGAUUUCCACACUAUAUUGGAUAUUUGUACUAUGAUGUUUUUGAUAUUGUACUUUGUGAUUGAGUUUGAGAUAUUUGAUGAAUGAAACUAAUGGUUUUAAAAAUAAAAAAAAAUAUCUCAUUUUUUGGGUCGUUACAAGUUGAUAUCAAAGCCUUGGUUUGAUGGAUUCAGGCACACUUUUCGGGUGUGUUAGAACUCAAACUGAGGAAAUGAUAAUCUUUUCAAAAGAAAAUUUUAAUUUCUAAAAAGAUUUUUACUAAGUGAAAAGGGGGUGUGAUGCGUGCGAUCAACCGAUCUCAAGUAAGUGGUUCCCAAAAUAUCUAUACCCAUGUAUUUUAGAUAUGCGAAUUGCAUGCUAGUGUAGGGAUAAGGAUACCUUCAGGAAUCAUAUGAUAGAAUUGUCUGAUUUUGUAUGAUGCCUUAUAUCCUAGGAAGAUUGGAUGCUAAGUGUUACUUUAAAUUGAUAUCGACUUAGUUUUUUGCUAAGUGUAUGCUUUAAAAGUUGUAUAUGAUUAGGUUCAUAUAGCCCUAUAAUGAUCAGUUUAGCCUCAUUUCCUGUUCCUUGUGUGGUUGUGGAUUUAGGGUAGAAUCAUUAUUCGACAGUCUUUGUGAUCCCAUUUUGUGUACAACAUGCAUGCAUAAGGCAAAUAACGGUGUUGGUUGAGGUUCUCGGUAUUGUAGGACGGUUGAAUUGGGGAUUCCUAGGAGAACCUAGGAAUGCCAUAACAUUAUUUGCAUGUUGAUUAGCAUAGGGAUGGUGUAUAUUCAUCUAGUGUGGUGACUUAGGGGUUUCAGGACGGUUCUUGAGGAAAGUACAGAUAGGUGUGGAAGGUAGUAUUGGGGUCAUACUACUAAAAGCAUAGGAUAUGUACCUGAGAUAAGAGCAAUUUUGGAACUUCUAAGGAUCUUGUACAAAAGAAGUCUCCUUGAAAUUAUGGUGAUCGUUUGUGUGUUUGUAGUUCAGUUGAGUAUGGUGUCUACUCGAGGAGGAGCUUAUGGAUCUGGUUCCGACGCUGGUGCCGCAUCCAUUGAUGAGCGGUUGCGAAAGUUUAUCACUUAUGAGAUCACUCACGGUAUUAUGGAGUCUACCCCUGUGAUUUUCGAUACCAUCAAGGAGGGGAUUAUGGAGCUUUUGGAUGAGCGACUCGGAGCCCUUCGGGCGGAGAUCGCUUUGGGACAGUUAGGAGCACGAACACCUUCAUUUAGGGAGUUUAAGGCCUGUGGAGCUCUAGAGUUCUUUGGGGCUAAGGAUCCCAUUGCCAGCCAUGGGUGGAUCACUGACAUGGAAAAUGCUCAGCGAACAAGCUUCUACCCUAAAGGGGUAAAAGUGGGAUCCGUCACCUGCCUUUUGAGAGACCGAGCCCGAGACUGGUGGGAGGAGGGCGGUUGUGCGUUGGGGACUGAGGCGGUGUGUCGCGGAUGAGGAGAUGAAGAAGACAAGGUAGCAUGAUAUGCUGAAGGAUGAGAUCAGAGAGUUUGUGAGCUAUUCACGGUGCAAGACCCUAAAUGAUAUGAUUGCGAGGGCCUGAGAACGAGAGAUAGAGUUGGGGCUUCGGACGAACCACAAGCCGGAGCAGGUGUUGUAACGCUUGUUCCAGGUAUCAUUUAUUUCUCUAAAAUUUUAGGGUUUUGGAUCGGGACUCGACGAGUUGGGGAGCUCCAACUCGUCAAGUAGGAAUCAUUAUGGACGCGGGAUGAAGGGUCUACUCGACGAGUUGGAAAGGAAAACCCUAAUUUUUCGGGUUAUGACUUCCUUGCUACGCGUAUGGGUCCUGUGCUUUCAGUAAUAUAGGCCCAUACUACCUUCCACACCUACCCAUAUUUUUCUCAAGUAUCACCACAACACCCUAAUAUUAUACAUAAGCAUGGUGUGCACUCAAUCCUCACUCUUAGAGGAAGGCUAAAUAUCGUGUGACUGGUUUACUGACCCCGCACAACCCACCCAUGAAACUUCCACCAACCUUGCAACACUCGUGUAUGCUAGCCAUACAUAACGUUGGCCCCUAUAGACUUUCGAAUACCUGAUCCUACCCUAAGCCCUUCAUCAAACAAGAACAUGAAAUAAGGCCAAACCAAACAUUCUUAGGCUAUAAGAUCUUAAUUAUGUACAUCCGUGAUGCAUACACUAAGCAAAUACAGUAAUGAUGUCAAUUUCAUAUAAGGAAAAACCCUAGGCUAUCAGGCAUCAUAUAAUCAGGCAAUUCUAUCAUGCAAUUCCUGAAGAUCCCCAGCCUAGUACUAGCAUGCUGUUCUAACAUAUCACAAAAUCAAAUAAUCCGUAAGGUAUGUUGGGGUCUACUUACUGGCUCCGACUGAUCGUACACUUGCAUCAUCCUUUAGUAUUUUGAAAACCAUUUGAAAAGUCAUUUUAAAAUCCUGUCCUUAGUUUGAGACUGGAGACACACGAGUGUUUCCUCCAAUUUACUCAAACCAAGGCUCUGAUACCAACUUGUAACACCUGUAAAAAAAUCAUGCCAAUUUAAAACUUUGUAAAUCAUUCAAAAACCAAUAAUUAUUACAAAUUUGUUUUCAAAAUGGCUUCAUGUCAGAGUAUCCCAAAAUCAAAUCAUAAAAAUAUAAGGAGGUGUACGAUCACGCCUUUGCCUUCCCGCGAUUAGAAAAAGUACCUGAAACAAAAUCAGCAACUGUAACCCGAAGCUUAGUGAGUUCCCCCAAAAUACCAAGGCCAUGCAAACCAUAUCAACAUCAUAUAUACAAACAACAUGCAUAAUGAGCCAUCAGCCUGACUGGACCGCCUCGCAGGGCCAUCAAUUUAUAUGGACCGCUCUCCGAGCCAUCGGAACGUCUGGACUACCUCUCAGGGCCUUCAGCCUAUCCAGACCGCUCGCCGGGCCUUCAGCCUGACUAGUAUGCCCUCCCGGCCUGCAGUCUAUCCGGUCUGCCCUGGGUAUGUUGGCCUUCAGCACAAAGCAGUUCCGCCUCAACCUAACCCCCAAAUCAGACAAUCAUGUGCACAUAAAUAUCAUAUGCUAUCUAGCAUGUACAAAUAGUCAUACAGAUCUAACAGAUCACUAACAUAGUAACAUCCUAUAACCAGGAUACUGACCUAACCGGUCUCUAACAUAGCAUUAUCCUAUAUACCAGGAUACCGACCUACCAGGUCACUAAACAUAUCACCAUCCUAAUUACCAGGAUGCAAAUCAAUAAGCAUAUGAUGCAAUAAACCUAGAUACAAAUCCAAAAAGGGCCGAAAUUGGUGCCUUCGACCCUGUUAGUAUAGUGAGGACAACUCACCUCACAAGUAGCUCGGGAUGAUAAAUGUCAAACUCCGCAAAUACAGCUCCCAACUCAAGCACCUAAAUCCACCAAUGAUCCACUUUCAUAAAUUUCCAAAUUACUAAAAUACCCCCAUAAGUCAAACUGGUCAACCCUUGGCCAAAGUCAAAGUCAACGGUCAAGGUCAACAGUCCAUGUUGACCCAACUUGUCCAGUGUAGCCCACUGACUUGUCGAGUUCUUCUAGAACUUGAGAAAUCGUGAAAACCCUAGUUGACUUGACGAUUUUCCAGACAACUCGUCGAGUCCAUGCGAUGUCCAAAUGUUAGGAAACCCCUAACUAACUCGUCGAGCCAUCUCACUGACUCGUCGAGUCCAUGCAGAAACCAAAAACAACCAAUCUUCAUCUGACUCGUCGAGUUGACCAUGCAACUCGUCGAGCCCCUUCAAUCCAUUUCUCAUUCAGACGUUUUUAAGCUAUCCCAAAGCUCCAAAUUGUAGAUCUAGCUUCCUCAGGCAUAUUUACCACCUAAAGUUGCAAACUUUACAUGCAUGCAAGGUCUUAAAGGCCAAAACCAAGCCAAAGAAGAAUUUUUAGGUAAGGAGAAGUACAUAACUUGCUAAAGACUAGAACUUUAUGACUAUAAGGGGCUACAGGAGUCCAGAUCUGAAGUUACAAUUUCAAAUCAUGCCUAAAACCAUAAAUAACUCCACAACAAACUAGAAAUAACCCUAAACCUUUGCAUGAAGAGAUCUAGAUAGAGAGGAGCCAAGGUAACGACUUGUUACCUUCAAGAUGAUGCUAAGAUGAAGUAGAAGUCAGAUCCGCAAGCCUCUCGUUGCUCCAACACUACUAUAAAACAGGCCUUUAAUGACGCGCAAACAAUGACACUCGCUGAUAGAGGACGCGCAUUGGUGCGUGCCCUAAAAAAUAAUGUCAGUUUUGCAAAAUUUGAAGAAUAGAGGAUACGCAUUUGUGCGUGCCCCAAAAUUAAUGUCCAACGAAAAAAAUUAAAAACACGGAAGGCACAUAAAUUUAAGUGGGCGUCGUGUAGAGAUGUCGCUUUAUAAAAUUUUAAUAAGCGUGUCCCUCUUUAAUGCAACUAAGGGGGGAAACCAAAUCCCCAAAAAAUUCAAGUACCCGCCUUUCCCAAAAAAUCGAACCUCACAAUAUCUUUCAUGGAUUCGGCGAUUGGGAGUCUACGAAUCCUCAAACUCGAAAUGCCGGCGAUUUUAAGGCUUUUCUUGUCCCCGAUAUCAAAGAAGAACUAGGGUUUUUACUUUUUAUGAUCUGGACCUCACAAGUUCGCACCCAUGAACUAAGGCUUUUAUUAGCCAAUAGCAUUCAUUUUCACUGUUGUUGGUUCAUCAGCCAAUCGCCAACCACUGCUCGCAGCACUUGGCCGUCAUCAGUUUUCCGAUUCCGCCGACGAUUAUGCCAAGAGAAACUACGCCAACAAUGUGUCUGGAUACAAUACCGUCAUCGGAUCUCUUACUUCUCAAAGAAGAAGCAGCAGCAGCACAAGAAAGACGGGUGAAGGAAAAGGCUAGGGUUUUCUGCUCGAUUCCACUGUUCACAUUGAUUUUCUCAUCUAAAUUUGAACUGUUUAUGUUGAUUUCAUCUGUAAGCUAGGGUUUUCUGCUCAAUUCCUCUAUUAACAUUGAUUUUCUCAUGUUUGGCACAUGAUUGAAGGUUGAAGGAGCCAUGGAACACUGGUACAUCUACUAUUCUUGUUAUAAUGACACAGACCAGGCUUCUGGAGCUUAUAUCUUCAGUCUUAAUGCCACAUUUCCAAUAAAAUCUCAAGGAAAGCUUUCACUAUCGUAAGGGGCCCUCUAAUGGAUGAAGUGCACCAACAAUUAAUCUCCUGGAUAUAUCAGGUCACCCGUGUAUACAAGGAGAAGGAACAUCCCUUACUGUGACAUUUCUCUCUAUUUAUUAUAAUCCUAGCCAAUCCAUGUGAAUUUCCUGUUUUAACCUUUAUUGGGCCUUCUACACAGGAGACUUGAAAGUGGGUUUUGCUUCUAGCCUUGCCACCAGCUACUUGGUUCGACCAUCUUCUGGACUUCGCUUCCGUUCUAGUUAUCAUGUUAGCUAAUUGGAGAUUAGGAUUAAUCUUAAGAGAGGACAAGACAAGAGAAAACCUUGAAUUUAAGGUUCAAGGGAGGAGCCCUAGGAAACGAGAGAAAAGAAGUUUUAUGUGUCGUUUGGGGGGAAGGCAGUGUAACCUACAUCAAUUGAUGAUUCUACCCGUUUUCUAACCGGCGCUUGAAACAAAGCAGGAGUUGGUGUUCCAUGGUUUUCAGGGAACCAUUUAUGGACAAAAUUGUACAGAAGAAAAAACAGCGUUUAUUUCACAAGCGCAUUGAAUUUUUCUACAAUUCAACCUGAUUUUAGAAUCUACCGACAAAGAGAAUUUGAAAGAAGUCGAUUCUGGUUUCAACCGGAGACUGCAGCAACAGAUGAGAAGUUCACUGGAAUGAUUAUUAUUUUUUGUAUCAAAAAGGUUGUUUAUAUUGCAGCCAUGUUUCAUAUUCUGGUUGUUUUUGCUGGACCAAGUGGGAGUUACUUGUGUCUGUAGUAUUUAUUUAUUUUUGAUAUUUGUUAUCGUAUCAAGUUUUUGAUGUUUUUCAGUUGAGAAGUAUUGUGUCCAAACAAGUAGGUCCCACUGACCAGGGAAAGGCACAAGGGUGCAUUACAUGCCUAUGUUCUUUCGCCAGUAUUGUUUCACCACUAAUUUUCAACCCUCUAACAGCUUUAUUCUUAUUUGACAAUGCUCC